AUAUCGGGGGUGCACUGGCACAGAGGAAAGGCCAUGUGAAGCAAGAAGGCAGCCAUCUGCAAGCCAAGGAGAGAAAUUUCAGAAGGAACCAACCCUACCGACAUCUUGAUCUUGGACUUUAAGCUGCCAGACCUUUUAUACAUUUUCUACAGAAAAUGCACCCCAUCAUUGCUUAUAGCCCACCCACGUGGACUGCUCAUUCUGUGAAUCAUGUUUUACAGAAAUUGCCUUGAUGUUAGGAAUUAAAAAAACAAAACAAAACAAAAAACAUGGAGCCGUAUUCUCCAGAAGCUUACAUCUGAUUUAACGAGACAGCAAUAGGAAGCCAAAGGGUCCCUGCAGAGGAGGGUUGCAGCACGAUAACUCUACAGCUGGACAGAGACAGAUUGCAGGGGAGCAAGAAUGAAUGGCAGGCCAGCUGCCAGAAGCUUCUCACUCCGUGGAGACCUUGGAGUCGAGGAUGAAAUGUCUUACAACUGUGGGGAGACCUUGGCUUUUCCAAAGCCUACCAGGGUCCAGCCCUAUAUUCUGCAACUAUGCUGGCAGAUUUAGGAGGUGAUAACUGCUGGGAAGAAGUUGUUAAAGAGAGAACUCAGAGCCCCCAUGCUCCAUCCUCAACCACUGGCUGACAGGGAAGGACUCCAAGCAGACAGUGGGUGAUACUGUUGCUACUGGUCUUUGAGAACUGCUGACUUACAAUGUAUGGACAGGUAAAUAGGGUUCAUUCUCCAGCCACCUCUCAUCUACCAAAGAAAGUGCAGGCUCCUGUAGCAUGUAAAGGAGGACUUGGAAGCUAAGGCCCAGAGAGGAGGAGAAACUUGAUCAAAGUCAAUCAGACAAUGCAGAAUCGAGAAAAGUACCUGGACCUCUAUGCCCAUGCUUCUAGCAGCCAGCCUCCUAAAAUACCUCUAGUUGAAGCCAAAGUUAGAAUCCUUCUACGAAACUACAGGAUUAAAAUGGAAUGGUUACAUGACCCAGGCUUGACCAAUCAGAUCAUCCAAACCCUUUGCCACAGUGAUUGGUCCAGGGAUACAUGCAUGAGCCAGCUCAGGCUGGACUUUGGCUUGGGAUAAAAGGUAUUAAAAAAAAAAAAAAAAGAAAGAAAGAAAGGAAGAAAUCAUGCGUAAGCAUGCAAAGAGGAACACAGCCAAGGGAAUGGAAUGCAGUGCCUGACCUGGAGCUCUCUGGCUUCUUUCAGUGAGAAGUGCCAUCCUUCUCUUCAGUUACAACUCCCUUCUGACAUGUGACUUAUUGCUUUUAUACAGAAUAGAUUGUCAUAAGUGGUGGAUUGGACAGGACUUGCUUUGGCUUAGGAGACAUAUUAUAUCCAUGCAAAAAAAAUUUUCACUGAACUAUGGAUCCCUUAAUUGCUUUAGCUAUAGAAUGAGCA
rnacentral:lncRNA from 1 species